AAUCUUAUAGUUUAAUAAAAAUGUAAUAUUGAAAAUAUUAAGAUAUUAGUUUAAGGUUA
rnacentral:tRNA from 2 species